rnacentral:rRNA from 1 species
UGGGGAAUUUUCCGCAAUGGGCGAAAGCCUGACGGAGCGACGCCGCGUGGGUGAUGAAGUCUUUCGGGAUGUAAAGCCCUCUCAGCAGGGAAGAAGACAGUGACGGUACCUGCAGAAGAAGCAUCGGCUAACUACGUGCCAGCAGCCGCGGUAAGACGUAGGAUGCAAGCGUUGUCCGGAUUUAUUGGGCGUAAAGAGAACGUAGGUGGCUAGUUAAGUCUGAGGUGAAAGCCCACGGCUCAACCGUGGAUCCGCCUUGGAUACUGGGUAGCUUGAGGAGCGCAGAGGAAAGUGGAAUUCCCAGUGUAGCGGUGAGAUGCGUAGAUAUUGGGAGGAACACCAGUGGCGAAAGCGACUUUCUGGGCGUUUCCUGACGCUGAGGUUCGAAAGCCAGGGGAGCAAACGG